rnacentral:lncRNA from 1 species
UGAAGAGGCCACUGGAGAUUGGUAAAUUGGAUGAUGGUCUCUACAGACUUGUGCAAUCUUCUUCUCUUCAAUCUCUUGAUCCUUGUAAAUACCAUUCUCCAUUAACUGUUCAUUUUGUUUCUUCCUAUCAUUGUACAUACCAUUCUGAAUUGAAUAAAAUGGAGAUGUUAUGGCAUAAUAGACUAGGGCACAUACCUUUUGUUAGAAUGAAAGACAUGUCUGAAUUGAAUAAAAUGGAGAUGUUAUGGAAUAAUAGACUGAGGCACAUACCUUUUGUUAUAAUGAAAGACAUGUCUUAUAUACCAUGUAAAUUUUCAACAAAGCAGCCUUUCCUUUGUACUAUAUGUCCUUGGCCAGGCAAUCUAGACUACCCUUUCCUAACAGUUCCAUUAAAACAACACAUGCUUUUCAACUCAUCCAUGUUGAUACAUGGGGUCCCUAUACCACUCCUACUCAUAAUGGUUGUACAUAUUUUCUAACAAUAGUUGAUGAUUUUACCAGAGCUACUUGGACCCACCUUAUGGGGUCCAAGACCAAUGCCUUUCCCCUUAUCAAAGCCUUCAUUGCCAUGAGUUUUGCCAUGAUUAAAACUCAAAUCCAGUCUGUGGUACAAACCAUUAGGAGUGACAAUGCCUUUGAACUUGGCUCUAGUAGCUGUGGCAACAACUUCUUUGCUUAAAAUGGCAUAAUGCAUCAAACUUCCUGCUCUCACACACCACAACAAAAUGGUGUAGUUUAGAGAAAGCAUAGAUAUCUGCUAGAAACCUCAAGAGCUCUACUUUUUCAUUCCCAGCUACCCAUUAGAUUUUGGGGAGAUUGUGUGCUUACUGCAACCUACCUCAUUAACAGGUUUCCUUCCAAACUUCUUAACAAUAAAUCCCCUAUUGAGUUGUUGUUUGGACAUGUUCC